UACGGAGGGUGCAAGCGUUGUCCGGAAUUAUUGGGUUUAAAGGGCGCGUAGGCGGCUUUUUAAGUCAGCGGUGAAAGACAACAGCUCAACUGUUGCAGUGCCAUUGAUACUGAAGAGCUUGAGUACAGAUGAGGUAGGCGGAAUUUAUGGUGUAGCGGUGAAAUGCAUAGAUACCAUAAAGAACACCUAUUGCGAAGGCAGCUUACUAAGCUGUAACUGACGCUGAGGCACGAAAGUGUGGGGAUCAAACAGG
rnacentral:rRNA from 1 species